rnacentral:tRNA from 1 species
GGAGAGGUGGCCGAGUGGUUUAAGGCGCCCGCCUGGAAAGCGUGUUUACGAGAAAUCGUAACGAGAGUUCGAAUCUCUCUCUCUCCGCCA